UUUUGGGGGCCAGAUCAUAUGAACAGGUAUGAAUGCUUCAAAGCUCGUCCAAUUUUGUUUGGACUUGUGAUAAAUCUUAGUCAAUUGGAUGCCUCAAAUUGUUUGGUAAGCCCCUAUCUUAAAACUCAAAAACUGUCGUUGUUCUUUACUCUGUGUGGUAUUGAGGUUUAUGAAAAAAUUGUUACACUAUCUUACGCUAGUCUCUGCAACUCCAG
rnacentral:misc_RNA from 1 species